AUGGCUCGCAACCAGCAACUGAGGGUGCUGCAGGCACUGGACGUGGCUAGGACGCAGUUGUACCACUUCAUGGCGAUCGGCAUCGCGGGCAUGGGCUUCUUCACCGACGCCUACGACCUCUUCUCCCUCUCCCUCGUCGUCGACCUCAUCGGCCACAGGUACUACACAGGCGGCCCGAUACCAACCUACAUCUCCGUCUACAUCAACGCGGCCGCCCUCUGCGGCACUGUGCCUGGGCAGCUCGUCUUCGGCUGGCUUGGCGACAAGAUGGGCCGGAAGCGCAUCUAUGGCGUCACUCUACUCCUCAUGGUCUUCUGCUCCCUCGCCUCCGGCUUCACCUUCGGCAAGAGCAAUUACAAAAGCGUCGUGAUCACGCUCUGCUUCUUCCGCUUCUGGCUCGGCGUAAGCAUCGGCGGCGACUACCCACUCUCGGCCACCAUUAUGUCUGAGUAUGCUAACAAGAGGACCCGCGGUGCCUUCAUGUCUGCCGUGUUCGCCAUGCAAGGUUUCGGAAAUGUUGUGGCGGGGCUCGUUGGCAUGAUCACAUCACAAGUCUUCAGGAAAUCAUCGCCAGGCAAUAUAGAUGUUGUCUGGCGCAUUGUUCUCAUGUUUGGCGCCGUUCCUGCACUGCUCACCUACUACUGGCGCAUGAAGAUGCCAGAGACGGCACGGUACACGGCCCUCAUAGCCAAGGACGCAAACAUGGCUGCAGCGGACAUGUCCGCAGUCCUCAGCAUGCACAUCGUCCCAGAAGAAGACAAUCUCGGCAGCCACGACCAGUAUGGCCUCUUCUCCUCGGAGUUUCGCCAACGUCAUGGGCUCCAUCUCCUCAGUACCACCGUCUGCUGGUUCGUCCUUGACGUCACCUUCUACUCCCUCAACCUCUGUAUGAAGGACAUCUUUACUACAGUCGGGCUGCUUAAAGGUCAUGAUGAUGAAGUCUGUAAGCGAACAAUCGACAUCACUGCAGUGCACAUGGCCAUCGCAGCGGGGUGUACAUUGCCAGGAUACUUCUUCGCGGUCGCCUUCAUUGAUCGCAUAGGCCGCGUGAAAAUCCAAUUGCUCGGCUUCACCAUGAUGACGGUCUUUCAACUCUGCCUUGCCAUCCCCUAUGAUAAAUGGCUAGAAUGCAACAACAACAAAUAUGGAUUCGCCGUCAUGUAUGGCUUCAUCUUCUUCUUCGCGAACUUUGGGCCAAACACUACAACUUUUAUCUUUCCAGCGGAACUCUUCCCGGCAAGGUUGCGCUCCACAUGCCAUGGUAUAUCGGGGGCGGUCGGGAAGAUCGGUGCCAUCUUCGGCGUGUUAGCCUUCUCCUUCUUGAGGUGCCGUUUCAAGAUCUUGUUGUUUGUCCUUGUUGGUUGCAAUCUAGUUGGCAUUGUGUUCACUCUUCUAUUGCCGGAAACUAAGGGAAAAUCUCUUGAGGAGAUUACUGGGGAGAUAGAAGAAGGUCAGCCUCUGGAUGAUGCAGCAGCAGUAGUCAAUGCAGCUGACGGCAUACACGUUGUGCCUGUUUAA
rnacentral:rRNA from 1 species